GAAACUAUUGGCCAAGGCUCUCUUGCCUUCUUUACCACUGCACUUUCUGCCCUAGGGAGUGUAAAACUGCUAUUGGAGCCCUGAGGGUUAGGUCGUGCACCAGCCACUGCGAGAUGACGUAAUGCUUUCUGUGGUACACAAAGCGGCCUCCCCAAAGCUGGGCCUCUCACGCCCCACCCCCAAGCCAGGAAUGCUGCCCCCGCAGGCACCAGCUCGGAUGCUCCUGGGAUGCUCUGAGCUAAGGAUGCAGGUGCAGUCGGACUGGUCCUGAUGCGAGUUAAGCUCCGCCUCUUUCCGAAGGGCCCUCGGCAGAAGACUCCGCCUCUGCCCGAAAGGCUCCGGAAACUCUUCCAGAGGAGACCCCUCCCACCGCCGAGUUUUCCUCAGGAUGAGGCUCCGCCCACUCACAGGCUGUGGGCGUUGGGGCUUGAAUUUCAAAGCCCAGUAAGAAGUGUAGGUGUUGUGCUUCUUCAGUCGCAUAUUCCCGUGACUGUAGCACUCGAGUGGGUGAGGUAGGAGAGUCAAGGGCAGCCUUGGCUAAUUCUCCAAAUACAGAAAGGCAAGAAGACGAUCGCUUUAGCGUCUUCUGCAGCUGUGACUCUAGUUCCCCGGGUUUAUACAGAUGGAAGCCGAACCUACUGAAUUGCAGAAGUUGUGAAGAACAAAAUUCUAUUGUUUCACUAUAGAUUGUUAUUGUUAUGUGCAUCUCUGAAACAAUAAAGGCAAUUAUGUCAACUAAA